rnacentral:rRNA from 1 species
GACGAACGCUGGCGGCGUGCCUAAUACAUGCAAGUAGAACGCUGAAGGAGGAGCUUGCUUCUCUGGAUGAGUUGCGAACGGGUGAGUAACGCGUAGGUAACCUGCCUGGUAGCGGGGGAUAACUAUUGGAAACGAUAGCUAAUACCGCAUAACAGUAGAUAUCGCAUGAUAGCUGCUUGAAAGGUGCAAUUGCACCACUACCAGAUGGACCUGCGUUGUAUUAGCUAGUUGGUGAGGUAACGGCUCACCAAGGCGACGAUACAUAGCCGACCUGAGAGGGUGAUCGGCCACACUGGGACUGAGACACGGCCCAGACUCCUACGGGAGGCAGCAGUAGGGAAUCUUCGGCAAUGGACGGAAGUCUGACCGAGCAACGCCGCGUGAGUGAGGAAGGUUUUCGGAUCGUAAAGCUCUGUUGUAAGAGAAGAACGAGUGUGAGAGUGGAAAGUUCACACUGUGACGGUAUCUUACCAGAAAGGGACGGCUAACUACGUGCCAGCAGCCGCGGUAAUACGUAGGUCCCGAGCGUUGUCCGGAUUUAUUGGGCGUAAAGCGAGCGCAGGCGGUUAGAUAAGUCUGAAGUUAAAGGCUGUGGCUUAACCAUAAUACGCUUUGGAAACUGUUUAACUUGAGUGCAAGAGGGGAGAGUGGAAUUCCAUGUGUAGCGGUGAAAUGCGUAGAUAUAUGGAGGAACACCGGUGGCGAAAGCGGCUCUCUGGCUUGUAACUGACGCUGAGGCUCGAAAGCGUGGGGAGCAAACAGG